GAUGAACGCUGGCGGCGUGCCUAAUACAUGCAAGUCGAGCGAACGGACGAGAAGCUUGCUUCUCUGAUGUUAGCGGCGGACGGGUGAGUAACACGUGGAUAACCUACCUAUAAGACUGGGAUAACUUCGGGAAACCGGAGCUAAUACCGGAUAAUAUUUUGAACCGCAUGGUUCAAAAGUGAAAGACGGUCUUGCUGUCACUUAUAGAUGGAUCCGCGCUGCAUUAGCUAGUUGGUAAGGUAACGGCUUACCAAGGCAACGAUGCAUAGCCGACCUGAGAGGGUGAUCGGCCACAAUGGAACUGAGACACGGUCCAGACUCCUACGGGAGGCAGCAGUAGGGAAUCUUCCGCAAAGGGCGAAAGCCUGACGGAGCAACGCCGCGUGAGUGAUGAAGGUCUUCGGAUCGUAAAACUCUGUUAUUAGGGAAGAACAUAUGUGUAAGUAACUGUGCACAUCUUGACGGUACCUAACCAGAAAGCCACGGCUAGCUACGUG
rnacentral:rRNA from 1 species